rnacentral:rRNA from 1 species
GAUGAACGCUGGCGGCGUGCCUAAUACAUGCAAGUCGAGCGAACAGACGAGGAGCUUGCUCCUCUGACGUUAGCGGCGGACGGGUGAGUAACACGUGGAUAACCUACCUAUAAGACUGGGAUAACUUCGGGAAACCGGAGCUAAUACCGGAUAAUAUAUUGAACCGCAUGGUUCAAUAGUGAAAGACGGUUUUGCCGUCACUUAUAGAUGGAUCCGCGCCGCAUUAGCUAGUUGGUAAGGUAACGGCUUACCAAGGCAACGAUGCGUAGCCGACCUUAGAGGGUGAUCGGCCACACUGGAACUGAGACACGGUCCAGACUCCUACGGUAGGCAGCAGUAGGGAAUCUUCCGCAAUGGGCGAAAGCCUGACGGAGCAACGCCGCGUGAGUGAUGAAGGUCUUCGGAUCGUAAAACUCUGUUAUUAGGGAAGAACAAAUGUGUAAGUAACUGUGCACGUCUUGACGGUACCUAAUCAGAAAGCCACGGCUAACUACGUG